rnacentral:rRNA from 1 species
UACAGAGGGUGCGAGCGUUAUCCGGAUUCACUGGGUUUAAAGGGUGCGUAGGUGGGCAGGUAAGUCAGUGGUGAAAUCUCCGGGCUUAACCCGGAAACUGCCGUUGAUACUAUCUGUCUUGAAUAUAGUGGAGGUGAGCGGAAUAUGUCAUGUAGCGGUGAAAUGCUUAGAUAUGACAUAGAACAUCGAUUGCGAAGGCAGCUCGCUACGCUAUUAUUGACACUGAGGCACGAAAGCGUGGGGAUCAAACAGG